CAAAUUUUGAGUGAUGCCGGUUUGCUUACGCACCGGUUGAAAGGACAUUUCGGCUAUCUGAGACGCUGCCUGAGAUAGCCGAACGCCAUUCGUUUUUGCAUCGGAAAUAGCACAAGACUACAUAGUAACAUGGCAAACUUACAAAACUGAGGAAAGCUGCGUGCGACAGAAACAAAACUAAGGAAAAUGGAAACGGAAACAGAAAUGAAAAUCGAAAUGGAAAUCAUAAGAGAAUGAGGCACUGCUAAGUAAAAAAGGAAAAACUAUAGAUGUUUAGAAAGUGUUCGAGUAUAAUGACAGUUUCGUAUAAUCCAGUUUUGAAUUGACAGAAAAGUUCUGCAAGUUGUCAAACAAAAUUUGCACAAAUCAAACUAAAAUAAAAACAAAAAUCAACGACAAGACACAAAUCGAAAACGGAAUCGAAAAAAGAAACGAAAGCCAAAAAUAAUACGUAUACGCACUGGUACUGCAGACGGUGCCGUGUUGUGGAAUGGAAUACAAACCUGU